rnacentral:rRNA from 1 species
CCUACGGGGGGCAGCAGUGAGGAAUAUUGGUCAAUGGGCGGGAGCCUGAACCAGCCAAGUCGCGUGAGGGAAGAAGGUACUGAGUAUUGUAAACCUCUUUUGCCAGGGGACAAAGGCGGCCACGGGUGGCCGUAAGAGGGUACCUGGAGAAAAAGCAUCGGCUAACUCCGUGCCAGCAGCCGCGGUAAUACGGAGGAUGCGAGCGUUGUCCGGAAUUACUGGGUGUAAAGGGAGCGUAGGCGGGGAUGCAAGUUGGGUGUCAAAACUACCGGCUCAACUGGUAGUCGCACUCAAAACUGCAGCUCUUGAGUGAAGUAGAGGCAGGCGGAAUUCCUAGUGUAGCGGUGAAAUGCGUAGAUAUUAGGAGGAACACCAGUGGCGAAGGCGGCCUGCUGGGCUUUUACUGACGCUGAGGCUCGAAAGUGUGGGGAGCAAACAGGAUUAGAUACCCGAGUAGUC